UACGGAGGGUGCAAGCGUUGCCCGGAUUCAUUGGGUUUAAAGGGUGCGCAGGCGGGAGAUUAAGUCAGGGGUGAAAGACGGUUGCUCAACAAUCGCAGUGCCCUUGAUACUGGUUUUCUUGGGUGGGGUCGAGGUAGAUGGAAUUCAAGGUGUAGCGGUGAAAUGCAUAGAUAUGAUAUAGAACACCGAUUGCGAAGGCAGCUUACUAAACAAUUAUUGACGCUGAGGCACGAAAGCGUGGGGAUCAAACAGG
rnacentral:rRNA from 1 species